rnacentral:rRNA from 1 species
ACGUUAGCGGCGGACGGGUGAGUAACACGUGGGUAACCUACCUAUAAGACUGGGAUAACUUCGGGAAACCGGAGCUAAUACCGGAUAAUAUUUCGAACCGCAUGGUUCGAUAGUGAAAGGUGGUUUUGCUAUCACUUAUAGAUGGACCCGCGCCGUAUUAGCUAGUUGGUAAGGUAACGGCUUACCAAGGCGACGAUACGUAGCCGACCUGAGAGGGUCGAUCGGCCACACUUGGAACUGAGACACGGUCCAGACUCCUACGGGAGGCAGCAGCG